rnacentral:rRNA from 1 species
GUAGUCUCGCACAGAUGCAUAUCAAUAAGCGGAGGAAAAGAAACUAACAAGGAUUCCCUUAGUAACGGCGAGUGAAGCGGGAAGAGCUCAAAUUUGAAAUCUUCAAGGUUUUACCUUGACGAAUUGUAGUUUAAAGAAGUGUUUUCUGUUGAAGUUUUGGUAAAAGUUCUUUGGAAUAGGACAUCAUAGAGGGUGAGAAUCCCGUAUUUGACCAUUAUUUUCAGCUGUGUGAUACACUUUCAAAGAGUCGGAUUGUUUGGGAAUGCAGUCCAAAAUGGGUGGUAAAUUUCAUCUAAAGCUAAAUAUUGGCGAGAGACCGAUAGCGAACAAGUACCGUGAGGGAAAGAUGAAAAGAACUUUGAAAAGAGAGUUAAACAGUACGUGAAAUUGUCAAAAGGGAAGCGUUUGACACCAGUGUUGUUUUCUCGAAAAUCAAUUAAAAAGAGUUUAGAUUUUGUUGUGUAUUGACCUUAACAGCUUGCAUUUCAAUUUUCUUGCUUUUUUUAAUGCACUUUUCGUUUAACAAGUCAACAUCAGUUUCUUUUGUUGUAAAAAGGUCAUUGGAAGGUGGCUUUCUUUUCGGAGAAAGUGUUUAUAGCCUUUGACUCCUGCAAUCGGAGAGACUGAGGUCUGCAGCGUAGAUCCUUCGGGGUUAGAUACAUUUGUGCUAAGUUAUAGCAUUUUAUAGACAACUUGUUGACUAUAAUUAGUCUUGUAGCUUACUCGCUUAUGCUAUUUUACCUACGCUUAGGAUGUUGAGCGCAUGUCUCUCUCU